GAUUAACGCUAGCGGCAGGCAUAAUACAUGCAAGUUGAACGGGAUUAGGUUUAGCAAUAGACUUAUGAGAGUGGCGCACGGGUGCGUAACACGUAUGCAACCUGCCCCUGACAGGAGGAUAGCCUCUCGAAAGAGAGAUUAAUAUUCCAUAACAUAUAGAUAUGGCAUCAUAUUUAUAUCAAAGCUCCGGCGGUCAGGGAUGGGCAUGCGGCUGAUUAGGUAGUUGGUGAGGUAAUGGCUCACCAAGCCAACGAUCAGUAGGGGGUCUGAGAGGAUGUCCCCCCACACUGGAACUGAGACACGGACCAGACUCCUACGGGAGGCAGCGGUAGGGAAUAUUGGUCAAUGGGGGCAACCCUGAACCAGCCAUGCCGCGUGCAGGAAGACUGCCCUAUGGGUUGUAAACUGCUUUUGUACGGGAAGAAAUCAAGCUACGUGUAGUUUGUUGACGGUACCGUGAGAAUAAGGAUCGGCUAACUUCGUGCCAGCCGCCGCAGUAACAC
rnacentral:rRNA from 1 species